UUAUACAAAAUUGAAUAUUAUAAUAAAUUAUAUAAUAUAUAAUUAAAUUUUUAAAUAAAAUAAUUUUUUAAAUUUUAGUAAAAUAAUUAAUUAAAUUAAUUAAUUAAAUUUAUUUUAAACUAGGAUUAGAUACCCUAUUAUAUAAAUUUUGUUUAUAUUAAUAAUUAUAAUUUAAUUUUUAAAAAAUUAAAUAAUUUGGUAGUAUUUUUUAAAAUUAGAGGAUUUUGUUUAGUAAUUGAUAAUACACAUUAAAAUAGACUUAAUUUAAUUAGAUUAUAUAUUGUUGUUUAAUUAAUAUUAAAAAAUAAUUAAUUAUUUUUAUUAAUAUUAUUUAACUUAAUUCAAAUCAUAAUAUAUUAUAAAAUUAAGAUUAAAAUGAAAUACAUUAAAAUUAAUUUAAAUUGGAUUUUAAAUUUUAAUAUUUAAAUAAAAAUGGAUUUAAAAUUAAAUAUUUAUAUAUUUAAAUAUUUAAUAUUUUUAAAAAAUAGAUACAUAUUGCCCGUCGCUUUUAAAUAAUUUUAAAAUAAGUCGAAACAUAGUUAAUAUAAUGGAAAUUAUAUUUA
rnacentral:rRNA from 1 species